ACAGUAAUAAGCUCCCGAUGAUGGGUAAAAACUUGAAUGAUGCUAAUAUUAUCUGUAUUCAUUUUUAGAAACUGGCAAAAAGAUUCAAACAUCUUAAAAAAUUUAACUGGAGCCAGGAAAGAGUGGCAAAGGUUGCAGAUGUCCUCGCGAUGCAUGGAAAUAAUGUCAUCCUAUACGAAAGUGAAAUGGACGAAGAAACCCACAGGUUUAAGCAGUACGAAAGUUUACCUGUGAAAGCAGA